rnacentral:lncRNA from 1 species
UACAGAAUAAAAUCAGAAGAUAAAUGAUGGAGAAUAGAAGAAUGGCAAUAAUGAUAAUUUUUCUAAUAAAUGUCAUUGCUUAUGAUAUAGUGUUAAAAAGAGGCAUUGUUUCUGUAAGUCAAGGAAAACUUUCUCCUCACUACCAGCCACUGGAAUCUUGUCGUUGAUAUCAGGUUCGAGGAAUAUGAUGCUCAAUUUUUCUGAGUGCAAAAAUAACUUGACAGUUUACAACAAAUAAUAAGAGAAGCUCGGGUAAAAUGCACAGAAAUGACGAGUUCACUUUGGAAUUACAUUGCUUCUGAAGCAGAAAAUUUAGAUUGAGUUUUGAGAAAUCAAUACAGCGAAUAUCAAGAUUUAAAGGCACUGGUCACAGUAAAUACAAUAGAAAGAAAAAAAAUGAGCUUUAAUUGAUUUAGGAGGAGAUAUAUUAAAAUUUUUAUUCGGAACAGCAACAUCCAUGGAAGUAGAAGAUCUUAAUACGAGGGUAUCGCAAGUUAAAACUAAUCAAGAAGGAAUUAUCCAUAUUUUGGAAGCUCAGGCAACUGUAUUGAAUGAAAUGCUGGUUGCUGUCAAAGAUAAUCGAUGAUGCAUUAGAAUGUUAAUUUGAGGGUAGGAACAACUAAUCGAAAAUAUGCAUGCCUACCAUUAUUCAUGUUUCGUUAGCACUAUACUCCGUUAUUUAGAGGAGGCUAUUGCAAACUUUAGAUCACAAUUGACAAAUUUGCAUACAGCUAUUGAAACUUUGGAACGAGGUCGAUUAAGGUCAUAUUUUAUUCCCUGUUGCACGCUUUUAGCUACAUUGAUAAACAUAAAUAAUCACUUGCCAAGAGAUGUUUUGCUUAUCAAGCCAAUUUGAAACAAUAAUUUAUUUAAAUAUUAUCAGUAGAUAACAGUAACAGCAGUAGCACUUCCGAAUAUGCUUAGACUAUUCGUGGACAUUCCACUUAUGAAUCCAGAUUAGUCUUUUGACUUAUUUGAGAUCAUAAGUUUUCUGAUGUUCUAUCCAACAAUCAACACAUUUGCAUUCUGUAAUUUAGAAUAUUCAUUUAUUGCC